GUUCAGGGACUUUUGCUAAUGUAAACUUAGAUAUAUAUUUAGACUGUUUUUCUGCUAUCGAUCUUCAUCAGUUAACUUCAAUCAUUUCUUCAUCGAAGCCAUCAACCUGUCUAUUAGACCUGAUCCCAACUAGGCUGCUUAAAGAAGUUGUUCCCUUAAUUGGCACUUCUUUACUGGAUAUGAUUAAUCUUUCUUUAUUAUCAGGAUAUGUACCACAGUCCUUUAAAGUAGCUGUAAUUAAACCCUUUCUUAAAAAUUUAGAUUUAGAUUUAGAGUUCAUCAUAGCACAGAGACAGCUCUGGUUAAAGUUAAUAAUGACCUUCUGAUUGCUUCUGACAAUGGACUUGUCUUUGUACUUGUAUUAUUAGAUCUUAGUGCUGCAUUUGACACCAUUGACCAUGAUAUUCUUUUACAGAGACUUGAGCAUCAAAUUGGCAUUAAAGGAACCGCACUAAGCUGGUUUAAGUCAUAUUUAUCAGAUCGUUCGCAGUUUGUACAUGUUAACGAUGAAUCUUCAAUAAAUACUACAGUUAGUCAUGGAGUUCCACAAGGUUCUGUACUUGGACCAUUACUAUUUACUCUAUAUAUGCUCCCUUUAGGCAACAUUAUUAGGAAUCACUCCAUUAACUUUCACUGUUAUGCAGAUGAUAAGCAGUUAUAUCUAUCAAUCAAGCCCGAUGAAAUUAAUCAAUUAUCUAAAUUACAAACAUGUCUUAAGGACAUAAACUCCUGGAUGAGCUGCAAUUUUCUGAUGUUAAACUCAGAAAAAAACGAAAUUCUUGUUCUUGGCCCCAAAAACCUUAGAGACUCACUGUCUAAAGAUAUAGUUACUCUAGAUGGCAUUACCUUGGCCUCUAGCACCACUGUCAGGAAUCUUGGAGUUAUCUUUGAUCAGGAUUUGUCUUUUAACUCCCACUUGAAGCAGACCUCUAGGACUGCCUUCUUUCAUUUACGUAAUAUUAUAAAAAUUAGACACAUACUAUCACAGACAGAUGCAGAAAAACUAAUCCAUGCAUUUGUUACUUCAAGGCUGGAUUACUGUAACUCUUUAUUAUCAGGUUGCCCCAACAAGUCCAUUAAAACGCUCCAAUUAAUUCAGAACGCUGCAGCACGAGUGCUGACAGGAACUAGAAAAAGAGAUCACAUCUCUCCUGUACUAGCUUCUCUGCACUGGCUCCCUGUAGAAUAGAAUUUUAAAUCCUCCUCCUCACCUAUAAAGCUCUUCAUGGUCAGGCCCCUUCAUAUCUUAAAGAGCUCAUAGUACCCUAUUACCCCACUAGAACACUACGUUCUCUGAAUGCUGGGAUACUUGUGGUUCCUAUAGUCUCUUAAAGUAGAACAGGAGCCAGAGCCUUCAGUUACCAAGCUCCUCUCCUGUGGAACCAGCUUCCAGUCGUGGUUCGGGAGGCAGACACCUUCAACACAUUCAAGAGUAGGCUUAAGAUAUUCCUCUUUGAUAAAGCUUAUAGUUAGGGCUAGAUCAGGUGAGUCCUGAACCAUCCCUUAGUUAUGCUGCUAUAGGCCUAGACUAUCGGGGGAUUUCCCAUGGUGCACUGAGCUCCUCUCUUCCUCUCUCUUUCUGCACUCAUUCAUGUCCCAUUAAUGCAUGUUACUAACUUCACUUCUUCCCCGGAGUUCUUGGGCUUUCUUGUCUCGCAGGUUCUUAUCGAUCCUGGUGGAGCCUCCUGCCAUGGUCCUGCUAGAUUGCCAUUGCCAAUACUGUUGUUGCUGUGCACCUGUCUGUCUUUCUGUCUGUCUCUCUCUCUCUCUCUCUCUCUCUCUCUCUCUCUCUCUCUCUCUCUCUCUCUCACCACAACUGGUCGAGACAGACCCACCUAGAGCCGAAGGAUCAGUCCUAGGUUUCUGCCUUUUAACAGGCAGUUUUUCCUUGCCCUUGUCGCCUAGUGCUUGCUCAUGGUGGUACUGUUGGGUCUCUGUAAAUAAUGUUUUAAAGAGUUCGGUCUAGACCUACUCUAUUUGAAAAGUGUCCUGAGAUAACUUCUGUUAUGAAUUGGCGCUAUCCAAAUAAACUUGAAUUGAAUUGAAUUGAAAUUAAUUAACACGAGUGUCAUCAUCGGUGAGCAGGAGCUCUCAGACACUGAUUCAGAUCAGAUAUGUUCUAUUCUCCUGUCAACUUUAUUAAGGGAUUGCAAACAUAAUUAAGCCCAAGAUGCAUUUAACAUUUAUUACCGUGCUUCUUUUUUAGUGAGCCUCCCUAAGCCCAGCAUCUCCAUGAUUCCUGCUGGUGAGGUUACCUGGGGUCAGGAUGUUGACAUCACUUGUUUGAUCUCACUUCACACUCAACAACUUUUAAAUGUAACAUUCAUUCUAAACCAGCCCUCGGGUUCAUUAAGAGAGAAGCAAACGUCAAAUAACACUGCUACCUUCAGAAUCAGUAAAGUGGACUUUGUUGAUGAGGGAUCGUAUCAGGCCUCCCAGUGCACAAGUCCUCAUACUCCAUGCAUUAGUUGGUGAGUUAGGGGUUGUGUGGUUGUGUCCACAUAGCAUUUUUAUUUUUGUUCACCCAGCACCUUCCGUUCAGUUCACCAUGACUUUUUUGUGCAACCGAGUUCUUCUAGUUGAAAAACUCUGAACUUUUAACAAAGGCAAUGGUGUUGUCCCUGUCGUUUAUUUACAGGCAACCAGUCAUAUAUUAUGUGGUGGGACUCGUCACCCUGGUAACCAGAGAUAUGGAGGAGAAGCUUGUUCUGGUUAUCCUGAGCUUUAUGCUAUGUCAGACAGAAAUGAUCAUGACAUGUGCUUUUAUCACCCCUAGGUGUUGUUAGCUGUGUAGGCAACUCUUUGUUAACAUAGUGUCCUUUAUCUCACUGCACAAUCACUUCAUCCUAGCACCCCGCCAGCGCUGGCCAGAAAAGAAGAAGCCCUUAGGGGCCUUUAAAACCUUUGUGAAAUGCUAUUUUUGACACAUUCUUUAGUUUUAAGGCCUUCUUGUGAAUUCAGCAUUACAUGUAAUCAUUAGCCCAUCAAUGUACAGGAUGCAAAGGUCCUAGAGAUGUUCUCAUGGGCUCCACCAUGCUCACAGAUGCCACCUGGUGGUUGCUGGUGCAAACAACAAUUCCUUCCUGACAGCUCUCACUCCAGUUGUAAAGGUUUUAGUCCUUCACCAUGGCCUCCUCAAACUCCUCCCUCACCAUGCACACCAGCACAGAGGCUGCCCUCCUUCUGGCCUCCAAAUACUGUACCUUUGUGCUGGGUCACCUGAGCCAACCAAGGCUGAAAGGACUGCUCAUUCGUCCAUCCAUCCAUCCAUCCAUCCAUCCACUGAAUCGACAUAGAUGAAACUGUUAUGGGUACUGGCCUGGUGUCUGCUUAGGGAUAACAUAAAAACAUUGUUUCUUAUAACUUCACCUCUUACUACUGUACCUAAUCAUCAUAUUUAUUCAUCUGAUGAUUAUAUUCUCUAUUUCCAUGGUAACAGUGCAAAAGGAAGUGCUAACAGCUUAUGCAGAAAUACUUUCUAUGGUGCUGCUCAUUGACCUAGUCUAUGGCCUGUUCUCUAUAUUUUUAAGGAUAAACUGUUAAGUAUUUCUCUUUCCUAGUUCCUUUGUGGCUGCUGGUCUCCUCAGUAGCUGCUGGGAUCCUGCUGCUGCUCCUGCUGGUCUUGGUGGUGGUCUGUUUGGUCCUCAGGAGAAGGCGACGAUCAAAGCAGCCUGAAGGCGUCGUCCAAACUCAAUUGGCGGUCAGGAACAAUUAUGAAGAGGACAAUGAGGAGAGUGAAGAGGAGGAGGGGGACUAUGUUAAUGUUGAGCCAGUGGACACCAACCAGAUACAGACUGGACAAGCAGAAGGAGACGAAGACGAAGAUGGAAGGAAACGGACAGAACGCGUGGACAGAACGGUUCGACACCUCCCCGGUGACAGCAACUGCCAAACUGCAGAGCAGCCCCCCGACGACGAGCAUUGGAGCGCCAGUUUUACUCUGGCCUGGGUUGGCAGACGGACAUCUGCCACCGGGAAGACUCCACGGCGGAGGGCCUAGGCCAGGGGUGUCAAACUGAUCCGUGAAAGGGCCG